CACGUAUCCAACCUGCCGAUAACUCGGGGAUAGCCUUUCGAAAGAAAGAUUAAUACCCGAUGGUAUAAUUAGACCGCAUGGUCUUGUUAUUAAAGAAUUUCGGUUAUCGAUGGGGAUGCGUUCCAUUAGGCAGUUGGUGAGGUAACGGCUCACCAAACCUUCGAUGGAUAGGGGUUCUGAGAGGAAGGUCCCCCACAUUGGAACUGAGACACGGUCCAAACUCCUACGGGAGGCAGCAGUGAGGAAUAUUGGUCAAUGGGCGCAGGCCUGAACCAGCCAAGUAGCGUGAAGGAUGACUGCCCUAUGGGUUGUAAACUUCUUUUAUAUGGGAAUAAAGUUUUCCACGUGUGGAAUUUUGUAUGUACCAUAUGAAUAAGGAUCGGCUAACUCCGUGCCAGCAGCCGCGGUAAUACGGAGGAUCCGAGCGUUAUCCGGAUUUAUUGGGUUUAAAGGGAGCGUAGGUGGACAGUUAAGUCAGUUGUGAAAGUUUGCGGCUCAACCGUAAAAUUGCAGUUGAUACUGGCUGUCUUGAGUACAGUAGAGGUGGGCGGAAUUCGUGGUGUAGCGGUGAAAUGCUUAGAUAUCACGAAGAACUCCGAUUGCGAAGGCAGCUCACUGGACUGCAACUGACACUGAUGCUCGAAAGUGUGGGUAUCAAACAGGAUUAGAUACCCUGGUAGUCCACACAGUAAACGAUGAAUACUCGCUGUUUGCGAUAUACAGUAAGCGGCCAAGCGAAAGCAUUAAGUAUUCCACCUGGGGAGUACGCCGGCAACGGUGAAACUCAAAGGAAUUGACGGGGGCCCGCACAAGCGGAGGAACAUGUGGUUUAAUUCGAUGAUACGCGAGGAACCUUACCCGGGCUUAAAUUGCAUUUGAAUAUAUUGGAAACAGUAUAGCCGUAAGGCAAAUGUGAAGGUGCUGCAUGGUUGUCGUCAGCUCGUGCCGUGAGGUGUCGGCUUAAGUGCCAUAACGAGCGCAACCCUUAUCUUUAGUUACUAACAGGUCAUGCUGAGGACUCUAGAGAGACUGCCGUCGUAAGAUGUGAGGAAGGUGGGGAUGACGUCAAAUCAGCACGGCCCUUACGUCCGGGGCUACACA
rnacentral:rRNA from 1 species